AUGGUCUCUUCAGCAACACAUAUACUAAAAUUGGAAUGAUACAGAGCAGAUAGCAGGGCCCCUACACAAAGAUGAACACAAAUUUGCAAAUUACAUAGAGAACUCAU
ensembl:snRNA U6 U6 spliceosomal RNA